CAUUAGUUUGGGUAUCUGGCAUGUCUACCGUCCCAAAAACUCUGGAAAAAAAUCACUCCCGCGAUUUGUUGUGGUUCCUCUAUUUCAGAAACUAUGUGCUAAAGUGCGUCCAAUUGAAUUUCCCCCGAAAUAGACGUCAUAGUCGAAAAAUGCCCAUUUAGUACAUUCCCCCAUAGCUCUAUGCACUCCCCCACUACCACUCGACCCACCCCUAGAUGGACCCUCCCACUUUAUAUAAGCUCGGUCCACCGGUGUCCGCCAUUUCAUUCUUGCAAGCCUUGGAAACACUUGGAUUAGCUAACUAGCAGCAUGAAUCGGUGGUCGGCUGCAAACAUGUCUUCAUGUGACUCCAGCUUCUGAAGACACAAGAUUGAGAUGGAUUGAGUUCAUAUAUGAUGGCAACGUUCCUGCCACCACUUUGAAUCGGACUGUUUUAUCAACCUGGGCCAAUAUAACGCUGGAUUCUCUAAAAGGUUGUUAUUGAAAGAGGGGUCGGUGCCAUCUUUCCAUGGCAAUACUGAAGACGAGGGAAAUGCAAGCACAUUUGUUCACGGUGCUAGGCUACAUCACGUAGCAUGCCAGACGGACCCACCACAGAUGCGCACACAUGGAACGCAGCUUUCUAUGAAAACACUGCGACCUCACAACAAAAGUACAGGCACACAGAAAACUGUGCUGCACUGAUGUUGGUGUUGGGACCUCAGCUGUAGAGACCUCGCUUGGAGGAGGGAGAGGACAACCCAAGUUGUUCAAGUAUGGACUUCGGAGAGCCACAGGAUGCUACCUAUGAUCCUGAUGACUCAAUCACAGUCUUGACUGAGUCAGCAGAUGUGACAUCACGUGGAUAACCUGUUGGACCUCAUCUUUCACGAGGUUUUUCAGGACCCGGCCCCAUAUGUGAAUGAGGUGCUGAAGAUCUCAAAACGUGAGGAUCUCUCUGCCAAGUAUGAGAAACCUGACAAGCAGGAAGUUAUAGCCAGCUAUGUGUCGAGUUUCAAUCAAGGGCAGGUCUGAACCCUGCAUAACUUCCCUGAGCAUCAGGGAACACUCUGCGUAUCUGGAGCACCACGCAGGAGGGCAGGACCACCCUGAUUCUCCGGCCCAGGUGGCCUCAACACCAGCUCACAAAGCUUCUGUACGCCAAAUCCCUGUAACAGCUGAGCAAAGUUUACAUUGUAUUUAGAGAAUAAAAGGUGACACACAAAUAUAAAGUGUUCCUUUGUUUACAGUAUGGCUACUGAUGGCACAAAUUGUAUUUUUGUAAUCAAUGUUUUCAUUAUACUUGGUAUGUUUAAAAAGCUCUGUGGCAAUCUUUCUGACAAUAAAAGUUUAUA